rnacentral:rRNA from 1 species
CCUACGGGUGGCAGCAGUGGGGAAUAUUGCACAAUGGGGGAAACCCUGAUGCAGCAACGCCGCGUGAAGGAAGACGGUUUUCGGAUUGUAAACUUCUGUUCUUAGUGAAGAAUAAUGACGGUAGCUAAGGAGCAAGCCACGGCUAACUACGUGCCAGCAGCCGCGGUAAUACGUAGGUGGCAAGCGUUGUCCGGAAUUACUGGGUGUAAAGGGAGCGCAGGCGGGCAGCCAAGUCAGCUGUGAAAACUAUGGGAGUAACUUGUAGACUGCAGUUGAAAAUGGUGGGCUGGAGGGAAGGAGAGGUAGGCGGAAGGAGAGGUGUAGGGGGGAGAUGAGCAGAGAGGAAGAAGAAGACUGAGUGCGAAGGA